AUUGAACGCUGGCGGCAUGCCUUACACAUGCAAGUCGAACGGUAACAGGUCUUCGGAUGCUGACGAGUGGCGAACGGGUGAGUAAUACAUCGGAACGUGCCUAGUAGUGGGGGAUAACUACUCGAAAGAGUGGCUAAUACCGCAUGAGAUCUACGGAUGAAAGCAGGGGAUCGCAAGACCUUGUGCUACUAGAGCGGCCGAUGGCAGAUUAGGUAGUUGGUGGGAUAAAAGCUUACCAAGCCGACGAUCUGUAGCUGGUCUGAGAGGACGAUCAGCCGCACUGGGACUGAGACACGGCCCAGACUCCUACGGGAGGCAGCAGUGGGGAAUUUUGGACAAUGGGCGCAAGCCUGAUCCAGCAAUGCCGCGUGCAGGAUGAAGGCCUUCGGGUUGUAAACUGCUUUUGUACGGAACGAAAAGCCCUGGGUUAAUACCCUGGGGUCAUGACGGUACCGUGAGAAUAAGCACCGGCUAACUACGUGCCAGCAGCCGCGGUAACAC
rnacentral:rRNA from 1 species